CUGAGCCCGAGACCACUGCGCACGCGCGCGGCGUCCUAGCUCAGGGCUCCAGGCGACCCCCGCGCCACCGAUGGCAGCGCCCGCUGCGCCCGGCGCCGGGCCUGAGGUCGCCAGCUUGAACUUGGCGCCCUCUGGAAACUGAACUCUGCGCAGCCCCGAAGGUCAUCUUUGAAACCACCACUCACAGAGAGACUGAGGUUGAGGAGCGAGGAGUUGUCUCUCCGGGCAGGUGCUGUAAUCAACUGGGAGUGGGCGUGAGAACCCAGGUUUGACCUGUGCCACAGGGUGUAGGAGCCUUGACUUUUCUUCACCUACCCCAAAACUUUCUUCGGAAGCUUUCAAGAUAAACCUAAUUGCAAACACUGUGUGUUCACUGGCUCCGGCUCCUCUGCUGUCUGCGGAGCCAGGGCUGGCCGCGGGCCAAUGGGAAGAUCGCGGGCUUUGCCAUCAGCGAGAUCUGGCUUCAUUUCCAGCUCUGCUCCUUACACACACACACUACGUUACCUUGGGCAAGUCACUGGCUUCUGAAGAACAAGCGUGGGGUACAAGCACCGGCCCGGCUACCUGCUUCAGGAGACUGAAGGAACAGAUGGUACAGAGAGUAAAGCCGGAAAGCACUCGGAGAGCGCGUGCGCAACCAUGGAGAGACAGGCUUGGCCCCAGAGGUUCCUGGGGAAGCGACAGCUAAAGGCACAAAACGGACAAACUGAGUCUGGCUUUAUCAGCAAGUCAGCAUCCUAAGAAGAAACACAUAAGCACAAAGAUUUAAUGGGAUGGGGGAAACUGUCCCGAGAUAUUAAGAGUCAAAAGACAGGGUUGGAGCCAUGGCUGUCAGGAAAAGGUGCUUGCCACAAAUGCCUAGCCUGAGUCAGUCGCCUGCACCCACAUCAAGGUGGAAGGAGAGAAUUCAUUUCACACUUUGUCCUCUGACCUCCCUGUGACUCAUGUAUCCACACACACUUUCAACACACACACACUCACUCACUUUCAGCACACACGCCCGCACGCACCCACCCACCCACCCAUGAUAAAUAAAUAAAAAUGAAAUUCAAAAGACAUAAAACGCAAGCAAGAACCCUCGUUCAGACCCCGAUUUUAACAGAAAGGUCACGAAAGGGAUUUCUUUAGAUAGGAAUCAGAUGGGCUGGAGGAAUUGCUACUUUUAUUAAGUAUUUUGUUGGCUGUGGUUAUGUAGGAAUAUCUGCGUGUGAAAUGCCAGAGGAGGGAACAAUGCGAGGACUGGGAUUGGCUUUAAAUGUCUCCCUGGAUAAAGUAGGUGCGGCUGGGUGGCCAAAUCUGAAUUUGGUCUUCGGCACUCUUGUAAAGGCGGAAGGGGAAUCAAAUCCAUCGAGUUCUCCCCUCAGCCCCACCCACGUGCCUGCUGUGGCGUGGGAACCCUUCUUCGUCACGUGUGAGCGCGCGCGCGGGAGCACACCCAGUAAUAAAACGCAUCGAUUUUUUUUUCUUUUAAAGAUUUAUUUAUUUAUUAUGUAUACAGUAUUCUCAGUACUCUGCCUGCAGGCCAGAAGAGGGCACAGAUCUCAUUACAGAUGGUUGUGAGCCACCAUGUGGUUGCUGGGAAUUGAACUCAGGACCUUUGGAAGAGCAGGUGGUGCUCUUAACCACUGAGCCAUCUCUCCAGCCCGAACGCAUCGAUUUUUAAGAUGCAAGACGGAAGUGUGGCAGAGAGCUGCUGGGCCUGGCAGGUCAGCCUGAGCCCUGGAAUGGGUCACUACACACCACUAAACACCUUGGAAACUGUGAGCCCCCCAUAAUACAGGAGUUACAGCUGCUCUUGGUUGUCCCCUUGACUACCAUGUCUGGAACCACUAAAACCUGAGUGACUGUGUACACCUGUGAGGGAUUUUUUUUUUUUUCUUAAUUAAGCCAUCUAAAGUGGGAAGACACACUUUCAGUCUGGAUCUUUGGAGGCAGGAAGAUCCACGUUAAAACGGGCCACACCUUCUGUUGGCAGCCUAUAUGAAGGAUGUAGAAGAAGGAAGCUUGUUCCCUUUGCUGGCUUGCCCUCAUUCUCCCUGGCAAGUCCAUUCCUUCACUGGCAUUAGAGCCCACUUCUCUGGGACUCUAGCAUACACUGAAGACCCGCUGAGACUAAUGAACUGAACAAAUACUAGAUUCUUGAAACUUCCACAGGUAGACAGCCACUGUUGGACUGGCUAAAUCACAGCCUGUGAGCCAUUCUGAUAUAUGAGUGUGUGUGUGUGUGUUCAUUAUAUAAACCCCAUGUGUAUGUAUGUAUGUAUAUAUAUAUAUAUAUAAAAUAUAUAUUCAUUCUGUACGUUCUGUUCCUCCAGAGAACCUUAACUAGUAACAGGGAAGCUCAGUUUCUUUGAGUGGCCCAAUGCCUUCUGGAAAACAACCCUGAACAUGCUGGGGGGCUCUCUGAGCCCCUUAAAUAGUCCCUGUAUCCGUACAACAACGUCAUUUUGCAGAUGAGGCACUGGGAAGUUAGCUUGGGGCGGAGUUGUGUGAUCACCAGGAGCCAAUGGCGCUGGUUAACAAACCACUGUUUUCUGGGCCCCACACUGUGACAUUCAAUUAAAAAUAGCCUCCGACCGGGAAAUACGACUAAAAAGAGGCUGAGCUAUCAUUUCUAUGAAAGCUGGGUUGAAUGCUUUAGAAAGAUUUCACAGUUUCUUUUAAGAAAGUUGCUGAUGAGAAGGAGCAGGGGCUGUCUCUGACUCCGUCGCCUGCUCUGGGACCCUUUCAUCUUACUGGGUUGCCUCCUCCAGCCUUAACAGAGGCCGCGUCUAGUCUCACUGCGACUGGAUAUGCCAUGACUGACUGCUAUGCAUUUUUUCUGAUGAGAAAGAAGUAGUGGGUGUGAGGAUG